CCAUUAGGGUAUUAAAAAUAAUUGUGAUAUAUAUCAAAUACCUAGGACUUCAUGAAUAAAAGGACUAAGCAAUUUCCUUUUCUCUCGCGUGAGUCGUACAUGAGCCGGCAUACACUUUUAAGAGUUAUAUUUGUGAAUCGGCUUCCUCCCUGUGAUCUUUGAACAAUGCCUGAUCGCUGUAUUGUCCCUUCUUGCACUUUAGGCAACCCCAAUUAUGAAAAACCAGAAGGUCCAACUUUUCACAGAUUUCCUCAUGAAUCAUGAUCCAAAUGUGAGAAAAAAUUGGAUUAAAUCAAUCGAAAAAGUGAGAAAAAAUUAGAAAUAUCCAUCGAAUUUAAAAAAGUCUCCGUCAAUUUGUUCACUUCAUUUUCAUUCAAAUUGUUUCAUCACCGAGAGUUGUAAUUCGUUGACUCGGAGGAAGAAUAAAAAUGAGUCUUAAGUUCUUCAACGGAGGAGAUUGAAAAAAGGGGCAUUCCUAAUGUAUUCCCAAAUGCAUCUUUCUACCUCAGCUAACCUCUUCCUGCAACUCGAGGAAUAAAUAGUCGUUCUCAAAAUAGAAAUGAAACUCUUCAACUUAGGCAUGAGUUUCAGGUGGAGAGUUAUUUUAAUGAUGCCAAAUGUGACUCCCUUUUUGACCUUAAAAAGAAAUUAGAUGAAACAGAACUUGUCGAUGGAUUUAACGUUCUGAUGAGAAAAUGCUCAGAAGAAAUCAUCAUAUUCAAGAUAUCCAAUAAUAAUGAUAAGGGCCCACAAAUCUUGAGUUGCUCACUUAUUAAGAAAAACUUGUAAUAUGAAGCUUUUUAUAAUGGUGUAAAGAUCUCUUACUCUCUCUUGAAGUGUUACAUCAGGAGCCCAACUUUUACGAAAGUAAAUUCUAUUCAUGAUGUCAGGGAGUUAAUUAUUUUCCUAAAAAAAAGAGCAAAAUCAGAUAUCACCCAAAAUGAUUUGAUGACAUCUGCUCAAACUUUGCUGGAGAAGGCUGAUAUUUGCAGCUUGGAAAUUAUUGAGAAGAAAAAAGUAAACUUCGCUUGUGAGAAAAUCCUUUACGCUUUAUCUAAAAAAUACCAGUACACAUCAAGGCCAUUAUCUAUUGCAACUUCCUUGAAAACUACAAGUUGCUGCGUAUAGAUUUCUUCGAAAGGAAAAUUUGUUGACGUUACCCCAUCCUAAUCACAUCAGUA
rnacentral:lncRNA from 1 species